ensembl:lncRNA
GCCAUGUGUAGUUUGUCAGAUCUGGUACCCUCCUGCAGCCAGGGGAUAGGCCUGCACCAGAUCAGAGUUGUUGCCCUCCAGGCCUCAACACUGACUCAGCGUUAAUAAGAGAGGAGUUCCAGACUCAUUGACUUCUGCAGGACAGCGUAAAGGACUCAGCCCUAGUGAAACUGUUGUCUCCAAUCUCAGCCUUUGGUUUGAGGUAAACACACAUAACAUACUUCCUUUCCCAGAUGACAUUUUGCUCUUGUGAAGGCUGUUGUACUGACAACCAGCUUUGAUCAGGAAUAAACUCUUUGUGAAGAGUGCCAAAUAUGCUGUCCUGGCAGUCUGCCCAAAGCCAGCUUUGCUGAAAUUUGCCUUAAAGAGAAGAUAUGGAAGUCUCCACACACUUAUGGCAAGUCUGUGAUGGAAACAUUCCAGACAAAGAGAUCAAGGCCUGUGCAGCAGUAGGGCGGAUGCAUGGGGAGGGAGCCCCAUGCCUGGAUGCAGGUGGCAGACUCUGGGACCAGACUUAUAGGAGCAGCUGGAGGCUGAAAAAAGUACGGCAUCUGGCACCCUGUGGCAGACCCCAAACAGAUGAGGACUUUGAUCAUUUUGGUGCCUGGAGAUCUUGCUUUACACAUCACCAGGUUGAAGCUCUGACCUUGGGGAGGUCAGGGGAGCCACCAAGCUGUGAGCUCUACAGACCACUACCAGACCUGAGGAAGAAGAGGAGGCACUUACCCCUGUGAGCAAUAGGCUCUACCAGCUCCUGGUGAGGGGCAGAACCUCCUGUUCCUGCAAAAUGCAUGGUGUCAGGGGCAUCCUGAAUUUUGAAGUUGAAUUAUGUGAGACAUGUUGCAAACAUACCUGACAGGAACUGAUCUUCUCCGUGUGAAACCUCUGGUCUUCAAACUCACCUUAUAUGUUUAUUAAACCUCUAGGAUGAGAAGCCUGAAGAAACUCUCAUUUGAAUACAGUUUCGUGCAGGCAGUUUGCCUUUCAGGACAGGCUCAUGAUGACUGCUUAACUUUGGACUUGCCAAGAGUUUGAAACGAGAUGCCAAAAUCCCACAGUCACAUGAUGGCUGUUCUUGCCACACAAUACAGGACCACAAGUGAAAAGCAGCAAAUCACCAAAAUACCAGAUGGGUGCUUGACCCAACAUAUCCAAGCCUUUGUGCAACCCAUGGGAAUUUGUGAACGUUCUUAAAAUAAGGAAAGAUCCCAUAUGUAUCUCAGGCAUUAGUGAAAUUACAUUCCAUAGGUCACAUAAAAAUAACAUGGCCCUGCAUGUCUUAAACCAAAGUGAGAAGCGCUUUUCUUCUAUAAUUAAUACUUCUGUGUUUGCCAGCAAGACUCCAGCAGCAUUGGUUCCCAGUGGAAAACUCUGUAUAAAAUCCGAACAAACAGACCAGUUAAAUUGUUGUGUUUGCUGUUUUCCAUCUCCAGCUUGGAUACACCAGAGGUUGUAUCAGGCUGCACUCAGGCAGCAUGCUGUUACAACACGAGAAGAAUAAAAACAGCACCAAAUGUUUUACUCAAAGACAGCCAUUUGUACUAUUCUCCUGGAGACAGACAGCUAUUUUCUCAUUAUUUAAAUAGGACCUAAACCCUAUAAGAGAAGCUGCAAGUAACAGUCUCCUUAUAUCUACAAAAGAAGGCUUCCCUAACUGCUGGCUCUAAACCAGCUUUUAUUUGACAGCCAUGCCAUAAUUACGUCUGGGUCAGGAGACAUCAACUGACAAAUUUUAUUUGGAAACAAUAAUUGGGGAAAGAAGCAAUAACCGGGCAGAGCUAAUUAUUUGGGAUCCAUUUUACACUCCCUCAAAAGCCUUCCACUGGUUAACAAAGGAAUUAACAUAAAAAGCACACCCUAAACAGUAUGGGAGAGAAAUAGUGCUAAAAGAUUAAGCAAAACCAGAAAAAUAUGCAAUGAGCUCUGAAAUCUCAGCUGAACGCUUUGGAGUAGGGAAGUGAAGCAGUAGCUCGAAAGUUGUUGUAACAGAUGGGGGAUUUGGCCAAUGUGCCAGGAAGGAAAGUUCCCUUUUCCGCAUCUCUGGGAGACGGGGCACCAAACUGGCCAUCCAUUCAUCUUCAUCUUGGUGUUUUCUGAAGUACUGAUCAACAAAAAGAUUAUACUUUUAAAGUAGCUGAUCACAAACUGCACCAAGUUUUCCAACCAAUGGUUGCCGUGCCCUGAAGCCACAAGAUAUUCAAGAUAUUUGCUGAAGACAAUUUUUUGGAACUUCUGAUAGUUCAAGC